rnacentral:lncRNA from 12 species
GUGAUUUGAUUAUUACAUUAAAAAAACUAAAAUGGCCAGACAAAGUCAAAAUAGAGAAGUUUGUUUCAGAAACCAGAAGAGGGAAACAUGCGUGUGGCUUAGUCUUAUGUGACUUUUGCACUGAAUUCCUCUAAACAGCACGGUACACUAGCUGACCUGAAAUACAUCAUAAUUAAAUAAACUUAAAAGGUAUGAUCAGCACAGAACUGAAUCUUACUAUACCACGUCACAGUUCAGCUUCUCCUUAAAUGGCCUGUUUAAGUAAUAAACAAUUUACUACAACUGAGCUGUUAAGAACACAACAGGAAGUGUUUCUCUGGAGAUGAGGACUUUGUUUUCUUCUUGCACUGCAGAACACACUCACUGGGACUGUUCUGUGUUACUGCUUGACUUUGCAUCAAGUCCACAGCAAUGUCACUGUCUGCUAAAGAUUCAAUUGCAUGAGUGCAGUGAAGAACAACAAAGGAAAACACCUGAAACACCAACAAAGGCAAACACAGAAGAGGGAGCCAUAAAUUAUGAGGCUGAAGAGGUACAGAGUUUCAGUAAAGCCAAGCCCCAACUCUUUUCCUAUCCACAUCCCACUGGCAGACACAAAUCCUUAUCAACACAGACUAGAAGUUUCAAGGCCAUCUGAGAAACCAUCUUGUCUUACAAAAGGUCAGGUAUACUGUUAGUUUGCAAAUGUUGUCAUUUCACUUCAGAACUAACCUAAAAGUUCCAAGUCUAGUAACUUCACAGCACUUAAUUCACUGAGAUACUCCUUCUGCAUUGUAGUUUCAAUGGGAAUUUCUGAAUCUACUGUGUAUCAGUGAGUUUUCACUUCAAUGUAUUACUAGUUUCUCAUGAAAUCUCAUAUAGCUUUGACCACCACAAUGGUCUAAAAUUAGAAAGGCAGUGAGUGAAUUCUGUGCUUCCAAGUGUGUCUUAAUCUGAUUUCCUGAGCUCUUCUGCUUCAUUUUAUUUCAGGGUUCUAAGGGACGGUUAAACUAACAUUGACUGAAUUUUUUAUUUCUGUUUAAAAACCAUCUCAUAAUUUCUUCAUGCAACAACAAAUCCUGGUCCAUUAAAAUGACAAUUUUCAAAAAAAAAAAAAAAAGCAAAAAAAAAAAAAGCAAAACACCAAAACUUACUGGCUCAAAUUGUGCACGAAAGCCAGUUCUCUUCACAGACUUACAGACUUUUACCAAAAUACCAAAAACACCUCAAGCAAGAUAUGUGUUUUGACAAAAGCAAAUUUUCUGCAUUGUUCUUGGAAGAUUCUUAACUAUUUCCA